rnacentral:rRNA from 1 species
AGCGAACGCUGGCGGCAGGCCUAACACAUGCAAGUCGAACGGAUCCUUCGGGAUUAGUGGCGGACGGGUGAGUAACACGUGGGAACGUGCCCUUUGGUUCGGAACAACUCAGGGAAACUUGAGCUAAUACCGGAUGUGCCCUUCGGGGGAAAGAUUUAUCGCCAUUGGAGCGGCCCGCGUCUGAUUAGCUAGUUGGUGAGGUAACGGCCCACCAAGGCGACGAUCAGUAGCUGGUCUGAGAGGAUGAUCAGCCACACUGGGACUGAGACACGGCCCAGACUCCUACGGGAGGCAGCAGUGGGGAAUCUUGCGCAAUGGGCGAAAGCCUGACGCAGUCAUGCCGCGUGAAUGAUGAAGGUCUUAGGAUUGUAAAAUUCUUUCAGCGGGGACGAUAAUGACGGUACCCGCAGAAGAAGCUCCGGCUAACUUCGUG